GGCGCCUCCCGCUGCAUCCACGGCGCCCGCGGCUCCAUCCUCGGAUCCUCGGCGUCGCUGUCGAAGCGCACGAACUCCGUGUCAUCCACGUAACCGACGACAAUGAACCGGGGCUCCCGGAGGCCGGGCCUGGACGUGAUGCCAAUAGGGGUGCGAAGCGCUGCGUCGUCAUCAGUGUCCGGGCAGAAGGAGCUGACACAGGUCAGGAGCUGGAGAAGUGAAACUGGGGACAGGGGAAUCCCCAGCGAUGGGCUUCUCCACCAGGACCUCACCGCCCUGGACCAAGACUUUGUCUGACCCUGAGCUGGGGACAGAGCGCGUUUGUCCCGGGGUCUCUGGGCCGACCAAGGCCACCUGCUCCCCAGGUCAGGAUGAAACCAAAGAGCAUGACGUUUGCGGGUGAAACACAGGCAGCGUUAAAAUGAAUGUUCAUGGAAACAGACGCUGUCACAGUCCUGAUCUUUGUCCCAGUGGGGAAGGGGUUCCACUGUGCUGAGACGAUGACCCAGGUCCACACAGACAAUCUGAGGACUAUGGAGUGAAGAUCCGUGUAAGACACAACCACCUGGAGCCACAGACGGUCAUCUGGGAAGAAACACUAGGAGUCUCAGUGUAAGCACAAGAGAUGCUUACCAGAGAUGCCCACUUCUGGAAGGUUCCAUCCCCAGAAGGUCUGGUCUCCACCAGCUCCAUGUCCUGGGUCUGUUCCUCCUCCUCCCUCUGCCAGGUCAGGGUGAUGUCAGCGGGGUAGAAGCCCAGGGCCCAGCACCUCAGGGUGACAUCACCUUUCUGUCCAGGAUGAUGGGUCACAUGUGCCUUUGGGGGAUCUGUGUGGAAGAUUUAAGAAAUCCCACCAUAACAAGGUAAACUGAAAUCUGCAAAGACACAAUUUAAUCAAAGAUAACACUGAACACUUCUGACUGUCAUCCCACUAGUGACCUGCAGGAGGAGGUGGUGCCCCUCAUCACAGAUCUGCAGGUUUCCCAUUGGAUUCAAAUGAUGGGCCGGUGGGCGGUGGCCGCGGGACGAGGGUGGGCGGGGCGGACCGCUGGGUCCCUGCAGACUCUCACACCUCCCAGUGAAUGGACAGCUGUCAUUCGGUGUCGGAUGGGCCCCUUGUUCGCGGGUAUCAACAGUUCGCCUACAAAGGCGACGAUUUCAUCUCCCUGAACGACACCUGAGGACGCAGACGGCGGUGGGCACAGCAGCGCAGAUCACCCAGGGCAAGUGGGAGCAGGCUGGUGAGGCGAAAACAUGGAGGACCUACCUGGAGCACAUAUGCCUGCCAUUGCUCAGCAGAUACCUGGAGAACGGGAAGGACCAGCUGCUGAGCACAGGUUCAGGCGCCCAGGGCAACUCCAGGGCUCAGUCCUGAGGAAGAAGAGACCUCAGCUGGGGUCCCGCCCCUGUCUCUGAAGGACACAGUGUCCCUGGGGCUCCUGAUCCAGCCUGGCAGGGACUGCACUGAUCUCCCAGGGCUCAGCCUUCUGCCUGGAAGGUUCCAGAUCUGUCUCAGGAGGGAGGAGAGAAGAUGCCCACAUCCCCAGCCGUGGCUCCUUCAGUCUGCAGCCCUGGGUCAGCCAUGGCCUCUCCCAGGCCGGGUUCUCUGCCCUGACCCAGUGUCUGAGUGUGUCAGCCUUACACACCGGGAGCACAGUCUCCUUUACCUGAUGGGAGACGUGGACGCCCCUACCCUAUGCUGGUUCCCCAACUUAUACAACUUUCCAAAAAUGAGCAUUUUACCAGAUAACUGAGUGUGAUUUUUCCAUCCUUCCCUCACCCCAAUUCUCUCUUCCUAAAAUGGGAAUGGUCACUUGAGCACUUAAGGGGUGCCGUGAAAAAAGCUCUAAAAUAUG